rnacentral:lncRNA from 1 species
AUUACCCGGGAAUAUAGUACCGCAUGUGCUGUAUUGUAUCACCUUGCCAACAAAGGUCCGUAUAGUUAAAGCUAUGGUUUUCCCAGUAGUGAUGUGUGGAAGUGAGAGCUGGACCAUAAAGAAGGCUGAUCGCCGAAAAAUUGAUGCUUUUGAAUUCUGGUGCUGGAGGAGACUCUUGAGAGUCCCAUGGACUGUGAGAAGAUCAAACCUCUCCAUUCUGAAGGAAAUCAGCCCUGGGUGCUCACUGGAAGGACAGAUCCUGAAGCUGAGGCUCCAAGACUUUGACCACCUCAUGAGAAGAGAAGACUCCCUGGAAAAGACCCUGAUGUUGGGAAAGAUGGAGGGCACAAGGAGAAGGGGACGACCGAGGAUGAGAUGGUUGGACAGUGUUUUUGAAGCUACCAGCAUGAGUUUGACCAAACUGCGGGAGGCAGUGGAAGACAGGAGUGCCUGGCGUGCUCUGGUCCAUGGGGUCAUGAAGAGUCGGACACAACUAGACGACUAAACGACAACAACAUCUACUGUAUUCCCCUUCUCCCAAGGCAGAGUGUCCACUCCCGAAAGAACCGUACAGUUUAGCGGAAACACAGAGCGCUCUACAUACAGUAGCACAAUAAGCACAAAACAGUAAAAUUAUAAUAUCACAGUAAUAAGGGAGACAAUGGAGCAUCCACCGCUGUAGGCUAUGGAAAAAACGAUUUUGUGGGAGAUGAAUGGCGCCUCCUCAUCCAGGGACAGUCUGCCUCUUAACACCAGUAGCUGGCACAGGAACCAACAGAGAAAAGGGUUCUCUGGAAGCACUUGCUUGAUGACAGGAUAGUUGGUUGGAGGCAUCUCCUGCCUGACCCAGGACUCUUCUUUCUAAGAGCAUAAGGAGACCCCUGCAACUGGAUCAGAUCAAAGGAGGCCCACCUAGCUCAGCAGUAUUUCUGCACAAUGGUCAGGACUCGUAUUCAGAAGCAAUACUGCCUCCGACACACCACCUGCUAUGAAUUUAUCUAAUCCUCUCUUAAAACCAUUUGGGUUGGUGACCCCCAUUGCCUCUUGCGGGAGUGAGUUCACUGGUUUAACUGGGUGAAGAAGCUCUUCCCUUCCUUUGGCUGUCCUGAGCGACAUUUGGCUUCCUUGAGGGGACUAGUAUCACGAGAGUGGAAGGACAACCCCUGAGGCUUUUAUGCAGUUUCCAAGAACACAGGAACAUUCCAGCAGCUGGAUGAAGUCCAGUCUCCUACUCCCCAGACAGCGGCCAACCAGGGACUCCUAGAGCAGGCAUAGGCAAACUCAGCCCUCCAGAUCUUUUGGGACUACAGUGGUACCUCGGGCCAUUCUUAUUAGGGAUAAUUAAUGAAGAAAUUCAUUAAAAAGAUGUAAAUUUAUUUAUGUAUUCCACAACGGCAGUGAGAAUUCUCCUGGCUCAAAGGUGGAAACAGCAAGAACUCCCUACAUUGGAAGACUGGAGAAUUAAGAUGGUAGAAUUUGUGGAGUUGGCGAAGCUGACGGGGAGAAUUAGGAAUCGACCCGAAGAAAAAUACCAAAAGGACUGGAGCAAAUUUAUUUAUUAUUUGAAAGAAAAUUGUACUUAUAGGAAAACGUUUGUAGCAUUAAUGUGAUAUGUUCUGUAAUGAGGAAUUAUGAUGCUGAUUUAUAAACAUAAAUAUGAUUUCUUAAGGCUAAUAUAUGAUAAAGAAGUGAUCAUGAGAAUGCGAUAGAUAUGUUAAAUGUCAUAGGGAUGUCAGAAAGAGAGACGGAAGGAAGUCAAAGCUCAUUUUGAGCAAAUAAUAGAAGUUGUGAAUAUGUGUAUGGAAUUAAGAUGAAAUACAGAAAAAAUCAAUAAAAAUUAUGUUA